rnacentral:rRNA from 2 species
UUGCUCUGACCUCGGAUC